UGAUGCAGAUACUAAUCUGACGCAGCUGCUGAUGUUAAAGCAGGUGUUGAUGCUGAUGCAGCAGGAAUGAGUUUGAUUUGAGAAGCGGAUUCCUUCUCCCCGGGAAAGGCACAAAGUUUUCUUUCCAAGUGCAGGUUGAAACUAACUCCUGGUGAAGAAGCUCACGGCACCAUCCAGCAUGGCACCGUCUGGGAGUCGUUUUUGAUUAGAAGUUGACCUCAGAAAUAUGCUCACAUCAUUUUGAAAGCAUCUUCCAGCACCACAGAAAUCGACUCAGAUGGAGAAAGGACACUGAGUGGACAGGGGCCAGGAUGGGGCGUGGACGCUCUGCCUCUGCCGGGGACAAGGCCUUCCCACAGACUCCCUGGGGUGUUGCCAGCCUGAGUCAGAGAUAUUGAUGUAAUGCCUACCGUGUUCCAGACACGCUGCGAGGCCCUGGGGAUGCAGCCACAAUCCCAACAGAUCUGAUGCCUGCUCUCAUGGAACUGACUUUGCACUGGGGGGAGGCCAACUCCACGAAAACAGAAACUGGAUGACACAUUGGAGGGAGAGCAGUAAAAGGAGCAAGCAGAGAGCAAGAACAACAGUGUUGCCAUGGGGCGGGUGGGCCCGCUGUAGCCAGGGAGGGCCUCUCCGAAGGUAUAACAGGUAAGCUGAGCCCUGGAUGCUGAGAAGGACCAGCCUCAGGAGCAGGGCCCCUCUGCAGCAAUGCCUAGUACAGAGGCUUAGAGAAGACAUGGGCACGUGCACCAGGCAUCCCAUGGGCAGGGCUACCUGAGUUCCAUAUGUGUGUGGAGAGGUCCCGCAGGGCCUGGGUGCGUGACGAGGAUGAAUAAAGUGGGUGGAGGGUAAUGCCACAGUGAGGGGCAGAUGGUGGCCAGUUGACAACACGUGCCCCCAUCAAAGAGGUGGUUGCUACUCAGCUCUGACUCAUGGUCACCAAAAAGGAUGUGGGGCGAGUGUGGCCAGAUCAUCUAGUUCUUCAAAAGAAAGUAGAAAUCUAAACAUUUUUUUUUUGGUAAAGACAUCUGAAUUUCAAGUGCUUUUAUUAAAAGAAGCAAAAAGAGGCCUGGCACGGUGGCUCACGUCUGUAAUCCCAGCACUUUGGGAGGCUGAGGUAGACAGAUCACUUGAGGUUGGGAGUUCGAGACCAGCCUGGCCAACAUGGAGAAACCCCGUCUCUACUGAAAAUACAAAAAAAAUUAGCUGGGCAUGGUGGCAGGUGCCUGCAAUCCCAGCCACUCGGGAGGCUGAGGAGCGAGAAUCACUUGAACCCGGGAGGCAGAGGUUGCAGUGAGCUGAGAUCACGCUACUGCACUCCAGCCUGGGUGACAGAGCAAGAACCUGCCUUAAAAGAAGAAGAAAAAAAAAAAAAAAAACACUGGGUGGAUGAAAAAAAAACAUCCCCAAGCCAGGUCCAGCCUGCAGGUCACCAUUUUGCAGCCUUUGGGUGGAAAGCCGGAUUGGACUGCAGCAGCCUAGUACUCAAGGAGAGGGCACGGCAGGGAGAGGAGACAGCAGCGGAAAGGCCUGAGCUGGGACAGUCGAAGAGCUGUGAGCGGCUUGCUAUGGCUGAAACGUAGUUUGAGUGUGACCACAAAACAUGGCAGACUGUGACCACAUUGCAAGGAUCUCGGAGGCUUGGUAAAAGGGUUCUCUUCCCCGGAGAUGUGGCACAGUGUCCGAUCCCCGUGCCUUUCCUCAUACAGUGCCCUCCCCCCUUUCUCCGCAUGUCUACGUUCUGACUCUAGUGCCACUUUUUCCACAGUCUCCCUGGUCCCCCUCCCACCCACCAUCAAGAUGGGAUCUCUCCCUCCUGGGAGCACCUACUGCACUUUGCUUUCAUUCAUUCAUUUUUUAAAAUUAAUUAAUUAAUUGGUUUAUUUAUUUUGAGAUGGAGUCUCACUCUGUUGCUCAGGCUGGAGUGCAACGUCACGAUCUCGGCUCACUGCAAACUCCGCCUCCCGGGUUCAAGCAAUUCUCCUGCCUCAGCCUCCCAAGUACCUGGGAUUAUAGGCAUGCGUCACCACACCCAGCUCGU
rnacentral:lncRNA from 10 species